GACGAACGCUGGCGGCAUGCCUAACACAUGCAAGUCGAGCGAGUAGAUCCCUUCGGGGUGAAGCUAGCGGCGGACGGGUGAGUAACACGUGGGCAACCUGCCUCAUAGAGGGGAAUAGCCUUCCGAAAGGAAGAUUAAUACCGCAUAAGAUUGUAGCUUCGCAUGAAGCAGCAAUUAAAGGAGCAAUCCGCUAUGAGAUGGGCCCGCGGCGCAUUAGCUAGUUGGUGAGGUAACGGCUCACCAAGGCGACGAUGCGUAGCCGACCUGGGAGGGUGAUCGGCAACAUUGGGACUGAGACACGGCCCAGACUCCUACGGGAGGCAGCAGUGGGGGAUAUUGCACAAUGGGGGAAACCCUGAUGCAGCAAUGCCGCGUGAGUGAUGACGGCCUUCGGGUUGUAAAGCUCUGUCUUCGGGGACGAUAAUGACUGUACCGGGAGAAUAAGCCCCGGCUAACUUCGUGCCAGCAGCCGCGGUAA
rnacentral:rRNA from 1 species